GUAGGUGGCAAGCGUUGUCCGGAAUUAUUGGGCGUAAAGCGCGCGCAGGCGGUUCUUUAAGUCUGAUGUGAAAGCCCACGGCUCAACCGUGGAGGGUCAUUGGAAACUGGAGAACUUGAGUACAGAAGAGGAAAGCGGAAUUCCACGUGUAGCGGUGAAAUGCGUAGAGAUGUGGAGGAACACCAGUGGCGAAGGCGGCUUUCUGGUCUGUAACUGACGCUGAGGCGCGAAAGCGUGGGGAGCAAACAGGGAUUAGAUACCCUGGUAGUCCACGCCGUAAACGAUGAGUGCUAGUGUUAGGGGGUUUCCGCCCCCUUAGUGCUGCAGCUAACGCAUUAAGCACUCCGCCUGGGGAGUACGGCCGCAAGGCUG
rnacentral:rRNA from 1 species